AGUUGUUCCAUGUGCAUGUCACGUGGUUUCAAAGAAUGUCACAUCACACUAUUAUUAUUUUGAAGUUUAAUUAUAUCAGCUUGGUUACACACUUAAUCACACUUGCUUAAAUAAUCUUGCUUUGUUCAAUAAUGCAGUAAUGUUAUAAUAAACCUUAGUAUGCAAAAUGAAGUUGUAUUGGGUUAAAUGAGUAUCAGCGUGACCUAGUGGAUAUAUUACGUGCUGUAAAUGUUAUAAAAAUGAGACAUUUUUCUCAAUUUUCUAAGUAGAUUAUUUCCAUUCCUGAUCAAACACACUUGUCAAGUGGCACAAACCUGUAGGAGUGAGAUUGCAGCUUUAGUAAGCGAGUGUGAGUCAGUGUUGUUUAAAAACAUAAAAUAUAAAUUGUAUCAUUUAUUACUAUGCAUACAGUAUGUUGUAAAACUGCUGUAAAUGUAAAUGCAGGUGCAGCAAAAACAUUUAGAUUUGUCAUUGCUCUAAACUUGGUUGGAUUUGACUGCCAUUCAAUAAACUGUUUGUUAAAACCUGUACAUGUGACCAUCCUGUUCUGAUCUUUAUCUUGGACUCAUGAGCAAAACAAGCACUGGGAGUAUUGUUCCUCAAAUGGCAACAAAUUAAAACUAUAGUCAAAAGUUUGCCCUAUA